AUGGCUUGGAAUCCAAGUCGUGGUCGUGGUGGUGGUGGCAACGUGACGGCAAACCGUGAGGAUGAAAUUAGAUUCCGUAGACAACUAGAAGCCCUUAGCUCUGAUGAAGAAUACAGUGAGCAGGAUGAUACACAGAGACCAAGCUUCCGAGGGCCAGUGGCUAUCCGUAGGCAUCAUCGGGGAAUAGGAUUCAGAAGUGGUGGUAGAGGAAGAAACGAUAAUUUUUUCAGACGAAGAUUUCCAGAAAAUCAUCCUUCAUUUCUUCUGAUGAGACAUGACAACAGUGAAGAUCGAUCAGGUUGGAAUGGAAACCAAUCUGAAGAGAGACAACCACAAAUAGAGGGAAAUCAAGUUUCCUUCAGGAGAUUUCAUGACCACUCCCAAUCUCGUGGUCGCCCCAUUAACAGAUCUCAUGGCCGACACUCCAGAUCUCCUAGCCCCUUCAGGAGAGCACCUGUCCACUCAGAUAGACCAUAUCAUGACCACUCAGAUAGACCCCAUCUUGACCACUUUGAUAGACCCAGGGGUGACCACUUAGAUAGACCCCGUCAUGACCACUUGGAUACACCUGAGGAUGAACUCUCAGAUGAACCCCAUCAUGACCAUGCAAAUAGACCAUAUUAUGACCACUCAGAUAGACCCCAUCUUGACCACUUUGAUAGACCCAGGGGUGACCACUUAGAUAGACCCCGUCAUGACCAUGUAGGUAGACCACAUCAUGACCACGCAGAUAGACUCCGUCAUGACCACUUGGAUAGACCUCAAGAUGAACACUUAGAUGGACCCCGUCAUGACCAUGCAAAUAGACCAUAUUAUGACCACUCAGAUAGACCCCGUCAUGACCAUGGAGCUAGACCAUAUCAUGACCAUACAGAUAGACCUCGUCAUGACCACUCAGAUAGAUUCCAUCUUGACCACUUGGAUAGACCCCAAGAUGACCACUUAGAUAGACCCCGUCAUGACCAUGUAGGUAGACCACAUCAUGACCACUUGGAUAGACCUGAGGAUGAACUCUCAGAUGGACCCCGUCAUGACCAUGCAAAUAGACCAUAUUAUGACCACUCAGAUAGACCCCGUCGUGACCACUUGGAUACACCUGAGGAUGAGCUCUCAGAUGAACCCCGUCAUGACCAUGCAAAUAGACCAUAUUAUGACCACUCAGAUAGACCCCGUCGUGACCACUUGGAUACACCUGAGGAUGAGCUCUCAGAUGAACCCCGUCAUGACCAUGCAAAUAGACCAUAUUAUGACCACUCAGAUAGACCCCGUCCAGCCUACUUGGAUAGACCUGAGGAUGAACACUCAGAUGGAUCCCAUCAUGACCAUGCAAAUAGACCAUAUUAUGACCACUCAGAUAGAUCUGAGGAUGAACUCUCAGAUGAGUCCCGUCAUGACCAUGCAAAUAGACCAUAUUAUGACCACUCAGAUAGACCCCGUCAUGACCACUUGGAUACACCUGAGGAUGAACUCUCAGAUGAACCCCAUCAUGACCAUGCAAAUAGACCAUAUUAUGACCACUCAGAUAGACCCCGUCAUGACCACUUGGAUACACCUGAGGAUGAACUCUCAGAUGAACCCCAUCAUGACCAUGCAAAUAGACCAUAUUAUGACCACGCAGAUAGACCCCGUCAUGACCAGGCAAUUAGACCAUAUCAUGACCACUCAGGUAGACCCCGUCAUGACCACUUGGAUAGACCUGAGGAUGAACUCUCAGAUAGACCCCGUCAUGACCAUGCAAAUAGACCAUAUUAUGACCACUCAGAUAGACCCCGUCAUGACCACUUGGAUACACCUGAGGAUGAACUCUCAGAUGAACCCCAUCAUGACCAUGCAAAUAGACCAUAUUAUGACCACUCAGAUAGACCCCGUCAUGAUCAGGCAAGUAGACCAUAUCAUGACCACUCAGAUAGACCCCGUCAUGACCAGGCAGGUAGACCAUAUCAUGACCACUCAGAUAGACCCCAUCUUGACCGCUUGGAUAGACUCCAAAAUGACCACUCAGAUAGACCCCGUCAUGACCAUGCAGGUAGACCACAUCAUGAAUACUCAGAUAGACCAUAUCAUGACCACUCAGAUAGACCCCGUCAUGACCAUGCAGGUAGACCACAUCAUGACCACUCAGAUAGACCUUAUCAUGACAAUUUAGAUAGACCACAUCAUGACCACUCAGAUAGACCCCGUCUUGGCCACAUGGGAAGAGCUCGUCUUAGCCGUGCAGGGCUAGCUCGCCGUGGCCAGAGAGGGAGAGAUCAUCUUAAUCACACAGGGCUGGCUCUUCCCAACCAUGCAGAGAGAGCUCAUCUAAGCCACACAGAGCUAGCUCAUAGUGGUCACAGAGGAAGAGCUCGUCGUGGCCAAAGAGGGAGAGCUCGUCCCAACCGUACAGGGCUAGUUCGUAACAGCCAUGCUGGGAGAGCUAAUAAUGACCACUUAGGGAGACUUCAUCCUGGCCAUGUAAGGAGAGCUCAUAACAACCGUACAUGGAGAUCUCGAAGUCUUGAAGAGAGAUAUCGUGGUCAAAGAGAAAGAUUUGGAAGAAUCCAAACAUCACCGGAAUCUGACCCUGAAAUUGACAGAACUUCUACAAUAAGAGAACAGACUGAAUACUUAUUUGAUCAGGAACGGCACAGAAAUGAGCUAAUUAAUCUGAAUGGAGGGCUGAUAGAAGAAGGCUACAGCUCUGAUCAAAGUGACGAAAGUUCUGACAGAUUCACCAUACUGAGGACUUUGAGACGUGCCAGAUUAAACAAUAUGAACAAUGGACAAGGAAGACGGGAAGACUGAACUGUCCUUUCCUAUUAGGGGUUAGCUGCUAAUUGCACUGAACCAUACUUAGGAGCAUAAAUAUAUUCUUAGAAUGUUGGACUUUAGACUUAUUAUUGAAGUACUUUCUUAGGUAGGGUUUGAUGCUAGGAUUUUGUUGAUACUAAGCACUUGGAAGUAAAAAUUGUUUAGCACUGUUUGCAUAAGAGAAUAAGGAGAUGAGCAAAAAGAAAGCUGGUUUAAGUGGGUCAUUUUAAGGAAACAGCUAUCUUUAGAAUGAUAAGGUUUUUUUCAAUGUGAGAGAAAAUAUAAUUUACUGUAGUCCUUAAGCUGUGGAACCUAUAUAGCUGAUAAGAAAGUUCUCUCCACAAAAACCAAUCCCUGUUAGUAACUUUAACUAUUGUAUUGCUAAAAUAGAAAACUUUUGUACUGUUACAUUUUAUAGAAAUUGGUACUGUAACAGAAAGUGAAGUGUUAACAUCUUCUGUUGUUGGUUUUAUAAGCACAUGAAAAAUAAUAAAGUGUAUGAGCAUUGGCAUUUCUUUAUUUAUUUAUUUCAGUGCUAGAACUAGAGCCUAGGGCCCUGGGAGUGUGAGACAGCUCAGCAGGCAAAGGCACUUGGCACCAAGCUUCAUCCACAUGAGAUCACCCCUGUGUUCACGUAGUAGAAAGAGAGAAGUGACCUUUUUUUUCUUGUUUUUCUUGUUUUUUGUUUUUUCUUUCAAGACAGGGUUUCUCUGUGUAGCUUUGGAGGUUGUCAUGGAACUCGCUCUGUAGACCAGGCUGGCCUCGAACUCACAGAGUUCUGCCUGCCUCCGCCUCCCGAGUGCUGGUAUUAAAGGUGUGCACCACCAACGCCCAGGUGAGAACUGACUUCUACAAGUUGUCAUCUAACCUCUUCCAUAUGUAUGCCUGUACACAAAUACACAAAAUAAAAAAUGUAAUUAAAAAAAAAGAGCCUGGGGCCUUAAGCAUCGUAGGCCAUGGUCUACUACUCUGCUGUCUCCCCAGCUCAAAUAAUAUUUAAAUAUAAAUAUGAUUUUUUUUCCUGACCACUGAUAAUUGGAGUCCAAAGCAAUAAUGAUCCUGAUAUGAUAAAUCAGCAAAGUAUGACUUUGACCUCUCGGCCUCUGUGUUCAAUUAACCUUAUAGUUCUACAUUCCACAAAGUGAUGCUGUAAUUAUGUGGUAUUUCUGUAUAAGGCUGGUGCGAUGGUUACUGUCAGUUCACCACUUGAUGAGGUCCAGAAUCAAUUGGGAGACUGCUUCUGGGUAUGCCUGUGGGGGGAAUAUCGUUAACUGAAGUAGGAAGACCCACCCACUGUGGGUAGCACCAUUCCCUGGGCUGUGAUUUCUACUGUGGGAAAAGUAGAAAAUGGGCUAAACACAAGCAUUCAUAGCUGCUUCAAGUUCCCAUUGCUGUGAUUUCCUCACCAUAACAGUCUGUAACCUCAAAAGGCCAGUUAAAAUACACAUUUUUUCUUCUCUAAGUUGAUUUUACCACGGCAAUGGGCUAUUAAACAAAAAACAAAAAACAAAAAAACAUUAAGUUGGCAGAAGGGAAUGGAUCUAGGAGAAGCUAGAAGUAGAGCAAGUGUGUGUGGGGGUGGUGAAAGGGGCUAGUGGCAAAAUGAUCAAUCUACACCAGGUUUCUUCAUUCUAAGGGCAUUUUGAAGCCACACUACUCUAAUUAGCCUUGGGACUAAAAAGUUCUCAUCUCCAGGUCAUUUGCUCUGUUAGGAAUUGGAAAUAUAGGAGUAAAAUAAAUACAUUUUAAUAAAUUGUUUUGAAACAGCACUUCAUAUAGCCACAGCUGACCUCAAGGUUGUUACAUAGCUAGAUUUGAACUCUUGCUCUCCCUGCCUCCACCUCAAAGGUGCUGUGAUUACAGAUGUAUCCAAAUGUGCCUAACUAAACAAAACAAUUAUUAUAAAAUUGUUUCCAUGAGGCUUACAUUCAAGGAUAUCGAUUAUCUGUCAGUCAGGUUCUGUUUGCCUCUCAGGGAGCAAGUGACUGUGUCAGCAAUAUUUGUUUAAUUGUCAAAACUGAUUGAUGGAGCAUCUCAUGAGUACAGGCCAGAGACGCUACCAAAAAAAAAAAAAAAAGGUGCUACAAUGCACAGCAGAGUCUUUCAUGGCAAGGGAUUAUCUUGGCCCAAAUGUAAGUCCCUGUUCAAGAAGGCAAUGAAAAGUAAAAUACAGAGUAUGACAUUUAUGCAUGUAUCUUACAUUUAGAGAGGCCCCUUUGUAAAUAAUAGAAAUGUUUUUCGUAUGCCUAUUAAAUUAUGAAAAACAGAAAUUACAUAUGCUCUGAAUUAC
rnacentral:lncRNA from 1 species